rnacentral:rRNA from 1 species
UAGUGAACCAGUACCGGGAGGGAAAGGUGAAAAGCACCCCGGAAGGGGAGUGAAAUAGAACCUGAAACCGUGUGCCUACAACAAGUCAAAGCCCGUUAAUGGGUGAUGGCGUGCCUUUUGUAGAAUGAACCGGCGAGUUACGAUUGCAUGCGAGGUUAAGUUGAAGAGACGGAGCCGCAGCGAAAGCGAGUCUGAAUAGGGCGUUUGAGUAUGUAGUCGUAGACCCGAAACCAUGUGAUCUACCCAUGUCCAGGUUGAAGGUGCGGUAAAACGCACUGGAGGACCGAACCCACGUACGUUGAAAAGUGCGGGGAUGAGGUGUGGGUAGCGGAGAAAUUCCAAACGAACUUGGAGAUAGCUGGUUCUCUCCGAAAUAGCUUUAGGGCUAGCCUC